AAAAGCCCCCAGAGCUACAUUUAACGUCAGAUAUAUUUUCCCUCGGUCGAAACAACACGGGGGCUUGUUUCAAGCAGAAGAUUCUCGGCUUGCCUGACCCUGGGUUUGAACCCUCGCCGUCCUCCUUCCAGCUGUGUGGCCUCUCUGCCUCAGUUUCCCCAUCUGUGCAGGCAGACCGGUUUCCUCUGGAGGAGACAUCUCUGUGGGUUGCAGAGAGCGCCCGCAGACCACCAGCUGUCCCACCACCCCCGAAGGCCUGGGGCGCCCUGCCGCAACAGUUCCGAGUUGUGUGAGGGGCUUAAGUGGGGCGUGCUCUGUUGAGGGUACCACGGUGAGCAAGGAAUGCACGAUUCUUGUCGUCUUAGAGUUACAGUGCUAAGAGAGACAACGGUCAGGAAUUGAACCUUCCCAAAGUGGAUGAUCCGGAGAACUGGGAUGUGUGAGUGUUCUCCACGUGCAAGUUAAAUGGACUCGUUCGAGGGACACAGUUAAUGGACAAUGGUUCCGAAGAAGCCAAGGCCGAAGAACGUUUACUUGGAGAGAGACCUGGAGUCUGGGGCCAGAGUGCGGGAUGGGGCUCAGCUCCCGGCCGGCAGGCUGCAAGGCAGCGUGGCUCACUGCCGGGCAGAGGUAACAUUCUCAUUUUCAUCCGCUAAAUGAUUAAAGGAGAUGAUGUAGGUGACGCGAACCUAAUUUAACACUUUGCAAGGUGGACAAGCUCCCUUCGGAGAACCGCGAAAUGGGGAGGAAGACAGGAAUCUUCUAUGGAAUGAAGAGAACAAGAAGAGAAAAACAGAACAUUUCAGAUGGGUGGAGGCCACACACUCACCCUUGUUUGGGGUCAGAAGGAACGGGGAAGUAUAGGACCGAGCCCGGGGUGGGUGGUGUGUGGGGACUGCAGAGCCUGGGUUCCUGGGCCGGAGUGGCUCCGUGCAUCUUGGGCCCAGAAAGUUAUCUCAACACCCCAAAACCUUUUUUUUUUUAAAAGAUUUUAUUUAUUUACUUAUUUGUUUGACAGAGAGAGACAGCCAGCGAGAGAGGGAACACAAGCAGGGGGAGUGGGAGAGGAGGA